rnacentral:piRNA from 1 species
UAUCGUAACUGGCCUUGGUGGGGUGGA